rnacentral:rRNA from 1 species
GUUAGAACGCUCGUAGUCGGAUUUCGGGGCGGGCCGACCGGUCUGCCGAUGGGUACGCACUGGUCGGCGCGUCCUUCCUUCCGGAGACCGUGCCUACUCUUAACUGAGCGGGGGCGGGAGACGGAACGUUUACUUUGAAAAAAUCAGAGUGUUUCAAGCAGGCAGCUUGCUCUUGCAUGGAUUAGCAUGGGAUAAUGAAAUAGGACUUUGGUGCUAUUUUGUUGGUUUCGAACACCGAAGUAAUGAUGAGAAGGGACAGUCAGGGGCACUCGUAUUCCGCCGAGAGAGGUGAAAUUCUCAGACCAGCGGAAGACGAACCACUGCGAAAGCAUUUGCCAGGGAUGUUUUCACUGAUCGAGAACGAAAGUUAGGGGAUCGAAGACGAUCAGAUACCGUCGUAGUCUUAACCAUAAACCAUACCGACUAGGGAUUGGAGGAUGUUCACUGAUUGACUCCUUCAGCACCUUACGGGAAACUAAAGUCUUUGGGUUCCGGGGGGAGUAUGGUCGCAAGGCUGAAACUUAAAGGAAUUGACGGAAGGGCACCACCAGGUGUGGAGCCUGCGGCUUAAUUUGACUCAACACGGGGAAACUUACCAGGUCCAGACAUUGUGAGGAUUGACAGAUUGGGAGCUCUUUCUUGAUUUGAUGGGUGGUGGUGCAUGGCCGUUCUUAGUUGGUGGAGUGAUUUGUCUGGUUAAUUCCGUUAA